GAGUUUGAUCCUGGCUCAGGACGAACGCUGGCGGCGCGCCUAACACAUGCAAGUCGAACGGAGUUCAUUCAGUUGAAGUUUUCGGAUGGAUACAGGGUGAACUUAGUGGCGAACGGGUGAGUAACGCGUGAGUAACCUGCCCCGAAGUGGGGGACAACAGUUGGAAACGACUGCUAAUACCGCAUAAGCCCACAGAGCCGCAUGGCUCAGAGGGAAAAGACUUCGGUUUGCUUCAGGAUGGACUCGCGUCCAAUUAGCUAGUUGGUGA
rnacentral:rRNA from 1 species